rnacentral:rRNA from 1 species
AACAAACGCUGGCGGCGUGCCUAAUACAUGCAAGUCGAACGGGGAAAGCUUUCGGGUGAGUACUAGUGGCGCACGGGUGAGGAACGCGUGGAUAAUCUGCCUUAGAGUGGGGGAUAACUAGUCGAAAGAUUAGCUAAUACCGCAUAAGACCACAGGAGCUGCGGCUGAAGGGGUCAAAGGUUUUUCGCUCUAAGAUGAGUCCGCGUAAGAUUAGCUAGUUGGUGAGGUAACGGCUCACCAAGGCGACGAUCUUUAACUGGUCUGAGAGGAUGAUCAGUCACACUGGAACUGGGACACGGUCCAGACUCCUACGGGAGGCAGCAGUAGGGAAUAUUGCACAAUGGAGGAAACUCUGAUGCAGCGACGCCGCGUGAGUGAUGAAGGCCUUCGGGUCGUAAAGCUCUGUCGCAGGGGAAUAACACAAUGAAUGUACCCUGUAAGAAAGGAUCGGCUAACUUCGUGCCAGCAGCCGCCGUAAAAC